AGUCUCAUUUAACGUAAGCAAUGUCAGUUUGUUUCUUAUUCUAGGUGUCUUCUUUUCUCAGUGGAUCUAAUGAAGUUAGGGGUAAUUUUUUUGUUCUGUUCUUAGGAAGAAUACAGCCUUGCACAAGCUAAGGUAACACCACCCCCUUCUGUUCACACUGGUGCUAAACCCAGUCAGCCAUAUAUCCAGCACAGCAAAACACAGGCUCAUUGUGGUACACAGAAAAUGCUUUUUACUAAUACGUUAUGCUCAGACACACACCAUUGAAACCUGGUGAUUACCACAACUCUGUGUGACAGCUGAUGGAGCAUAGCAGAAUGCAAGCAGAAAUCGAAGGUUUGCUCUGCUACAGCUUCAAGCACCACAAAAAUAGUAGGACCCAGAUUAACAAAACAAAGCUGGGUGCUACAAAGCAAAAUAAAGAAGAGGAGGGAUGGUUCUAAGGAAGGGAGAACCUAAAGCUAAUGGAUGUACUGUGCUUGCUAUGGCGAUUUUUGCAGGCUUCCUCUCUCUCUGACACUCACCGAAAGGAGUUUCUCAGUUCCAUAGCUCUAUGCUAUAUGUAAAGUCAGAGCCACUCACUUCUUGCUUCUAUGAGGUGAAUCAUUUCUGCUAUCAGGGGACUAUCUGUACCUACUGGAAAUAAGUCAUGCCAUGUGCCUCUGUGACAUUUAAAGGAUUGUAGUCAAAACCAAGCCCAAGUGUUUUUUUUUCUGUUGGGAAAAUCAUCCCAAACUUCACACUGAUGUUUUCAUGUUGUAAAUAGGAAAUCAGUCCACAGAGAGGAUUUAGAGGUGGCUGUUGCCUACUGUAGUGACUCAGAAAAAAUGAAAUGCAUUGCUCAUAUAUUGUUUUUGAAGGCUACAGUGGGGGACAACCACUUUUCCUUCCUUAAAUUUGCAUUUUAAAAAAACUAAAGUCUCUGACUUUUCAAGAGUUCAAAAUCUCCAGCUCAUGCAGAUUUCUAGAUGACUUUUGCACCUGAAAGAAAGGCAGGCUUUUUGCUGAGGUUCAACAAAAAGAAACUCUUCACCGUACAUAUUUUCAAAACUACUGUCAGGUCCAUGUGUUGAAACUUCUUUAAAAUUAUGAAUUUUGCAAUGAAUGGGAUACAAAUUUGGAUUUCUUUAAAUGUUUUUAACACAAUCUUCAAUUAUGGCUGUUGAGCUCUGGAAAAAAGCUCUUAUAUAUCAUUUAUCUGUGUUUUGCGUAUACAUUAUGUUGAAAAAUUUCUCCCAAAGGCGACUUCAGGUUUUAAUUUCCCAGAUUUCUACACUGUCUAGUUACCACAGUGUUUCUGACCGAACGACAGAGCACCACAGAAUAUACCACAGGUGGUUAUCCGGAUGCUGUCUGCUUACAAGGUCCCUUUGCAAUUUGUGUAGUCAGUAUAUCACUCAAAGUCAUGUGUGCUCCAUUGUAUCACCCCAGUUUGCUCUGUGCCACUAUUGUUAUAUGCUUGAAUUCUGCAAGUAGCACAAAGAAGUUGUAAAUAACUCAUAAUAAAUACAUUCCUGUAGGGUCUCUGCUCUCCUGUAGCAAGAAAAUAGUAAGUCAAAAUUUCCAAAGAGCAACAUUACAUUUUUAUCAUAUUCUGUAAGUAGAAGCUGUGCAGAGAGGUUGCUGCCAACCUGCCCUCAACAUUUACAGUCAGAGAACGCACUAAACAUCAGUGAAGCCAUGGCUUCACAGGUUAGGGAGGUGAACUUCUCAAGUAAAGCUUGCAAAUAAAGCUCUGUCUUGAACAUAGAAUGACCCAAGAAGUCCUCAUCAGAGCAAUCCCUCACCUGAUACCCUCAUCAGGUAUCAAGAUGAACUAUAGUAGAAGUCUACCCAGAAAGCCAAGCAGUACAGGAAAGAAAUUAUUUCACUUCAUUUUCACAAUACAUAUAAGCAACUAGAAAAUUAGCCCAAAAUAAUAAAAAAAAUAAGUCAUCAAAGGGUCUGAAAUGCUUUCAGAUUACAUUUUUUAAAAUAUUUAAAUACACUGUAUUGGAUACUCAAGCUAGUUGUCAAAGAAGGUUCUAAUAUUCAUAAAAGGUAUUUCAAAGAACUUGAGAGAGCUGAUUUGUUUAAAGCAGAGAGAAAGAGGUGUUUAGAAUUAAAAAUAUAUACAAAUCUUCAAAAAGCAGAAAUAUGUCAAAGCAGGAGAAAGGGAGGAGCAUUAAUUCUAAUGAGUUAAACAUGUAAUUUUAAUGUCAUAGGUCAGAAGUAACACUUCAAAAGUAGGAAAUCUUCCAGAGAAUCUGUAGGAUCAAUAUAUGAUUGAGGUGUAAAAGGAACAUGAGCCACUUUCAUAGCUGAACAUCAAUUCUCUUUUAAUACUCAAGCAGCUUUUGACAAGCUUCCUUAUUGGGGAUUCUUAAAAGUAUAGGACUGUAUAGAUCAAGAUUGUCAUAGGACUGUAUAACUGAAAGACAGAAAACAGAACAAAAAUACUUGGUCAGAGGAAAAGGUUAUCAGCACAGACCCACAGAGUUCCCGUGGUAUGACCUGUGUUUCAUGACAAUAAUAAAUGUACAGGAAAAGUUCUGUUAAAGUCAUAUCAGUUAAGAACUGGCAGAUAACAAAUGCUAUGACAUGAAUCAGUGUGCCAUGGACAUCUUGCCCAGCAUUGCAGAUGGUGUGUCCCAUCGGCUUCUCUUCUAGAACUAGUAAGCCAACGUUUCAAAGUAUAUUGGCACACAGUUUCUUUCCUGGCAUGGGCAAGCAAGAAUUACAUUUGAACUUGAAUUUUCCAUCUGAUGAAUUGAAUCUGUGCAAGAACCUGUGCUUUCUACACUGGCUACAAUGUAAAAAAUAAGCCCAAGUUGAGUUGCAGUAUUCAC